AUUGAACGCUGGCGGCAUGCUUUACACAUGCAAGUCGAGCGGCAGCGCGGGGGCAACCCUGGCGGCGAGCGGCGAACGGGUGAGUAACGCAUCGGAACGUAUCCUGUAGUGGGGAAUAACUCAUCGAAAGGUGAGCUAAUACCGCAUAAGCUCUGAGGAGGAAAGCGGGGGACCGAAAGGCCUCGCGCUGCAGGAGCGGCCGAUGUCCGAUUAGCUAGUUGGUGAGGUAAAGGCUCACCAAGGCGACGAUCGGUAGCUGGUCUGAGAGGAUGAUCAGCCACACUGGGACUGAGACACGGCCCAGACUCCUACGGGAGGCAGCAGUGGGGAAUUUUGGACAAUGGGGGAAACCCUGAUCCAGCCAUGCCGCGUGAGUGAAGAAGGCCUCGGUUGUAAG
rnacentral:rRNA from 1 species